rnacentral:rRNA from 1 species
UACAGAGGUCUCAAGCGUUGUUCGGAUUCAUUGGGUUUAAAGGGUGCGUAGGCGGUCUUGUAAGUCAGUGGUGAAAUCUCUCAGCUUAACUGAGAAACUGCCAUUGAUACUGCAGGUCUUGAGUACAGAUGAUGUUGGCGGAAUAUGACAUGUAGCGGUGAAAUGCAUAGAUAUGUCAUAGAACACCGAUUGCGAAGGCAGCUGACAAAACUGUAACUGACGCUGAGGCACGAAAGUGUGGGGAUCAAACAGG